rnacentral:rRNA from 1 species
CACGUAGGGCGCAAGCGUUGUCCGGAAUUAUUGGGCGUAAAGAGCUCGUAGGCGGUCCGUCACGUCCGCUGUGAAAACCCAGGGCUCAACCCUGGGCUUGCAGUGGAUACGGGCAGACUAGAGGUAGGUAGGGGAGAAUGGAAUUCCCGGUGUAGCGGUGAAAUGCGCAGAUAUCGGGAGGAACACCGGUGGCGAAGGCGGUUCUCUGGGCCUUACCUGACGCUGAGGAGCGAAAGCGUGGGGAGCAAACGGG